UAAAGGCGAAAUGAAAGUGAAGGUCCGCCUCGCGCGGACCGAGGGAGGAUGGGCACGCCGACCGGCGGCCCCGCACUCCCGGGGCGUCUCGUUCUCAUCGCGAGUUGAGGCGCACCCAGAGCGUACACGCUGGGACCCGAAAGAUGGUGAACUAUGCCUGGUCAGGACGAAGUCAGGGGAAACCCUGAUGGAGGUCCGUAGCGAUUCUGACGUGCAAAUCGAUCGUCGGAACUGGGUAUAGGGGCGAAAGACUAAUCGAACCAUCUAGUAGCUGGUUCCCUCCGAAGUUUCCCUCAGGAUAGCUGGCGCUCGCCGCGCGCGAGUCUCAUCCGGUAAAGCGAAUGAUUAGAGGCAUUGGGGUCGAAACGGCCUCAACCUAUUCUCAAACUUUAAAUGGGUGAGAUCUCCGGCUUGCUCGAACACACUUGUCGUGAAGCCGCGAGAUUUCGGAUCAGAGUGCCAAGUGGGCCACUUUUGGUAAGCAGAACUG
rnacentral:rRNA from 1 species